rnacentral:lncRNA from 1 species
AUCGAACCCGGGCUGCACACAUGCCAGGCGAGCGCGCUACCGGUUGAGCCACAUCCCCAGCCCCCAGUCCUUUUUAUUUUUUAAUUUGAGACAGGGUCUCACCAAAUUGCUGAUGGUCUUGCUAAAUUUCUGAGACUGGCCUCAAACUUGGGUCCUCCUGUCUCAGCAUCUGGAGUUGCUGGAAUUAUAGGCAUGUGCUACCAUACCCAGCUUCUAUAUAUAUAUACUUCAGUGUAUAUGUGCGGGAAUUGAACCCAAGGCCUCAAUGAGAGGCAAGCACUCUACCACUGAGCCGUUGUGCUACACUCAUAGUCCUUUUGCAUGUAUUUUGAAGGUAGAACCAAGAUUGCUGACAGUUUGGAGGAAGGCAUAUGAGAAACAUAUGCCAAGGGGUAGAAGUACCACCUGUGUACAUGGAAGCUUGUGGGAGAUGUGGGUCAGUAGUUCAGCCAAAGGUGGUUUAGAUGAAAUGCCAGUUGGAUAUCCAAGUGAUGUUGACAAGAUGAUUGCAGCUUCAAGUCUGGUGUUAAAAAGCCUGGGGCUUCAGGUAAGAAAUGGCCUCAUGGGUAUGUAGAUCAUAUUUAUAGUCAUAACACUGGGCCAGCUCUACAAAGAGACUAUGAAGAAGAUAUAAGCCAUGAUGACUAAAACCUAAGUACCCCACAUUGCAAAGAGGAAGAGGCAGCAGAGCAGCCUAAGUAGCAGUGUGAGGCCUGUGUGAAGGAAAAGGCGGUGACCUACCAUGUCACUAAGACUAGUAGGUCAAGGGCAAUAGACAGAGCUACUUACUGGAUAUAGACAUGUGGAGUCCAAUUUCCCAGGAUUCUCUGACCUGAUCAGUGCCUAACUUUCACAUAAUAGACCCAAUGAGGGGCUGAGGGUAUAACUCAGAGGUAGAUUGCUUGCCUAGCAAGUGAGAGGUCCUGGGUUCAAACCUCAGCACCAAAAAAAAAAAAAAAAAAAAGAAAAUUUAGGCUGUGAAUUCAAUCAGUAUUUUAAUCUGGAAACCAUAGAAUCAGUCCUGGAAUUAAAUUUUAAUAAUUAGUGCCUUGACAUAGAAGCAACCGCUUAACACUACAAUCCUGGAUUUCUUAGCUCAUCAUGCUAGUCUUUUUUUUUUUUUUUUUAAUCUUUAAUACCUUAAUUUUAUUUAUUUCUGUGUGGUGCUAAGGAUCAAAUCCAGUGCCUCACACAUGCUGGGUGAGCACUCUACCACUGUGCUACAAUCCCAGACCCUCUUUAUGCUAUUCUAAGGCCUUGUUAUAGUUUAGAUAUUAGAUGUCCCCCCAAAGCUCAUGUGUGAGGUAAUGCAUGAAAGUUUAGAGGUGAAAUGAUUGGGUUAUAAGAAAGAAUCUUAAGCCAAUCAGUUCAUUAAUCCAGUGAUAAGGAUUAAAUGGGUGGUAACUGUAGGUAGGUUGGGUGUGGCUGGAGGAAGUAGGUCAAUGGGGGUAUGCCCUUGGGUUUAUAUUUUGUGCAUGGGAAGGGGAGUUCUCUGCUUCCUGGCCCCAUGUCUUCAACUGCUUUCCUCUGCCACCCACUUCCACCAUGAUGGUCUGUCUCUCCUCAAGCUCCAAGCAAUGGAGCCGGCCUUCUAUGGACUGAGACCUCUGAAACUAUGAGUCCUCAAAUAAACUUUUCCUACUCUAAUUGUUCUUGUCAGGUCUUUUGGUCACAGCAGCAAAAAAAGCUGACUAAAACACUUGUCUUCAAUAUGUUCAGGCCUCCUACGGUGUCGUUUUUUCAAUAUCAAUGUGUGCAAGGAGAAGGUAGCUCACCAACAGCCAAUUCUGUUUCUGACACCAACUUGAGCAUCCAAUAAUUUAAUUCAAUUCUUAUAUUAACUCUUGAAGUUAGCACAAACCCCACAGGUUAAGGGCUUAGUCCCUCAAGUCUGCCCACCCGCUUACAGUACCAGUCAGAAGUCCAGGGGGGCCAUACU